UUAUGGCCAUAUCAUGUUAAAACACCAGUUCUCAUACACUCACAGAAGUUAAGCAACAUUAAACCUGGUCAGUAUCUAUAUGGGUGACAUUUUGGGAAUACCAGGUGCUGUCA